rnacentral:rRNA from 1 species
AGCGAACGCUGGCGGCGUGCCUAACACAUGCAAGUCGAACGUGAAAGGGGGCAACCCUGAGUAAAGUGGCGUACGGGUGAGUAACGCGUAGGUAAUCUACCCUAGAGUCUGGAAUAACUUGCCGAAAGGCGGGCUAAUACUGGAUAGAGCGAUGGAUCUGUAAGUGGAUUUAUCGGGAAAGGGAGCCCGCAAGGGCCUUUGCUUUAGGAUGAGCCUGCGUCUCAUUAGCUAGUUGGUAGGGUAAUGGCCUACCAAGGCGAGGAUGGGUAGCUGGUCUGAGAGGAUGAUCAGCCACACUGGAACUGAAACACGGUCCAGACUCCUACGGGAGGCAGCAGUGGGGAAUCUUGCGCAAUGGAGGAAACUCUGACGCAGCCACGCCGCGUGAGUGAAGAAGGCCU